rnacentral:ncRNA from 2 species
ACUGCCAGUACCCUUGCCAGGUAAGGAAUAAGCGGCAGGUUGAGCACCAGCAGGACCACGUUGCCCAGAUACAUGGAGAUGAUCACCGACCAGAACACCUCUGGGUGUUCCAUGAAAAGGCGAGGGCC